rnacentral:tRNA from 1 species
GCAGGUUGGGCGGCAGGCCCUUGAUCGCGAAGAGCUCCUGGCCCUUCUGGUCGAGCCGCGGGAUGGAGUCCAGCAGCCCGCG